AUUGAACGCUGGCGGCAGGCCUAACACAUGCAAGUCGAACGAGUGGCGGACGGGUGAGUAAUGGCUGGGAAUCUGCCUGAUGGAGGGGGAUAACUACUGGAAACGGUAGCUAAUACCGCAUACCAUCGGAUGUGCCCAGGUGGGAUUAGCUAGUAGGUGGGGUAAAGGCUCACCUAGGCGACGAUCCCUAGCUGGUCUGAGAGGAUGACCAGCCACACUGGAACGGAGACACGGUCAAGAUCCCUACGUGAGGCAGCAGUGGGGAAUAUUGCACAAUGGGCGCAAGCCUGAUGCAGCAAUGCCGCGUGUAUGAAGAAGGCCUUCGGGUUGUAAAGUACUUUCAGCGGGGAGGCGGUACUCGCAGAAGAAGCAACGGCUAACUCCGUGCCAGCAGCCGCGGUAAUAC
rnacentral:rRNA from 1 species